rnacentral:piRNA from 1 species
UGAUAAGACCCAGAUGAGUGCCCAGCAGGU